rnacentral:rRNA from 1 species
CUCUUACCUUCCAUUCAGCUGGUCAGCCGGUCAAUGCCAAACAUUAAUGCUGCAGCAAUCACCAUGCUGGUUGAUCGGUGGAGGACGAAGACACACAGUUUCCAUCUUCGGACCAGGGAGAUGACCAUGACGCUCCAGGAUGUCGCCUUAAUCACCGGUCUUCCCAUCAAGGGGAAGCCUCUCUGUAUGAGCAACAAUUUGGAUAGGUGGCGCUAG